UAACGUGUCGCGCGGGUUUUCGUACAGACGUAUUUUGAUUUGUAAAACUACAGUUAGACAUACAAAGUGUGCCACUUUAAAAGUGAAAUAACAGUUAGGUCUGUUGACACAUAUUACAGGUGAACUACUUGAACUAUCAACAGUUUUCUAGUAAAAGGACAAAUAUACCUGCUAAUCGUUGAAAAUGGCACCGAAACAGAGGAUGCGUAUCGCCAACGAAAUUGCCAGCAAAAACAUUACCAUGAGAGGCAAUGUGCCAAAGUCUACCAAGGUAGAAAAGGACGACCAAUACCCCGUCGCGCCCUGGUUGCUGGCUCUCUUCAUCUUCGUAGUUUGCGGUUCAGCAGUGUUCCAAAUAAUCCAAUCCAUAAGACUUGCCUAGGUCCCCUCUCUUGUGAUUCCCACCCUUGACUGAAUACCUUACCAUUGUGGCUUGAACUGUUU
rnacentral:misc_RNA from 1 species